UACGAAGGGGGCUAGCGUUGCUCGGAAUGACUGGGCGUAAAGGGCGCGUAGGCGGAUGGCACAGUCAGAUGUGAAAUUCCCGGGCUUAACCUGGGGGCUGCAUUUGAUACGUGUUGUCUUGAGUUCGGAAGAGGGUCGUGGAAUUCCCAGUGUAGAGGUGAAAUUCGUAGAUAUUGGGAAGAACACCAGUGGCGAAGGCGACUUACUGGACACAUAUUGACGCUGAGGUGCGAAAGCGUGGGGAGCAAACAGG
rnacentral:rRNA from 1 species